GAGCGGAUGACAGGAGCUUGCUCCUUGAUUCAGCGGCGGACGGGUGAGUAAUACCUAGGAAUCUGCCUGGUAGUGGGGGACAACGUUUCGAAAGGAACGCUAAUACCGCAUACGUCCUACGGGAGAAAGCAGGGGACCUUCGGGCCUUGCGCUAUCAGAUGAGCCUAGGUCGGAUUAGCUAGUUGGUGGGGUAAUGGCUCACCAAGGCGACGAUCCGUAACUGGUCUGAGAGGAUGAUCAGUCACACUGGAACUGAGACACGGUCCAGACUCCUACGGGAGGCAGCAGUGGGGAAUAUUGGACAACGGGCGAAAGCCUGAUCCAGCCAUGCCGCGUGUGUGAAGAAGGUCUUCGGAUUGUAAAGCACUUUAAGUUGGGAGGAAGGGCAGUAAGUUAAUACCUUGCUGUUUUGACGUUACCGACAGAAUAAGCACCGGCUAACUCUGUG
rnacentral:rRNA from 1 species